GACGAACGCUGGCGGCGUGCCUAAUACAUGCCAGUAGAACGCUGAAGGAGGAGCUUGCUUCUCUGGAUGAGUUGCGAACGGGUGAGUAACGCGUAGGUAACCUGCCUGGUAGCGGGGGAUAACUAUUGGAAACGAUAGCUAAUACCGCAUAAGAGUAGAUGUGGCAUGACAUUUGCUUAAAAGGUGCAAUUGCAUCACUACCAGAUGGACCUGCGUUGUAUUAGCUAGUUGGUGAGGUAACGGCUCACCAAGGCAACGAUACAUAGCCGACCUGAGAGGGGGAUCGGCCACACUGGGACUGAGACACGGCCCAGACUCCUACGGGAGGCAGCAGUAGGGAAUCUUCGGCAAUGGACGGAAGUCUGACCGAGCAACGCCGCGUGAGUGAAGAAGGUUUUCGGAUCGUAAAGCUCUGUUGUAAGAGAAGAACGAGUGUGAGAGUGGAAAGUUCACACUGUGACGGUAUCUUACCAGAAAGGGACGGCUAACUACGUG
rnacentral:rRNA from 1 species